rnacentral:miRNA from 1 species
UUAAAUGACCGAUCUUAAAAGUACUUUUAAAAUCGCAUUUUAUGACCAUUUUUAAAAAUGCUACUUUUAAAAUCAGUUAUUUAA